rnacentral:rRNA from 1 species
AUUGAACGCUGGCGGCAGGCCUAACACAUGCAAGUCGAGCGGCAGCGGGAAAGUAGCUUGCUACUUUUGCCGGCGAGCGGCGGACAGGUGAGUAAUGCCUGGGAAAUUGCCCAGUCGAGGGGGAUAACAGUUGGGAACGACUGCUAAUACCGCAUACGCCCUACGGGGGAAAGCAGGGGACCUUCGGGCCUUGCGCGAUUGGAUAUGCCCAGGUGGGAUUAGCUAGUUGGUGAGGUAAUGGCUCACCAAGGCGACGAUCCCUAGCUGGUCUGGGAGGAUGAUCAGCCACACUGGAACUGAGACACGGUCCAGACUCCUACGGGAGGCAGCAGUGGGGAAUAUUGCACAAUGGGGGAAACCCUGAUGCAGCCAUGCCGCGUGUGUGAAGAAGGCCUUCGGGUUGUAAAGCACUUUCAGCGAGGAGGAAAGGUCAGUAGCUAAUACCUGCUGGCUGUGACGUUACUCGCAGAAGAAGCACCGGCUAACUCCGUGCCAGCAGCCGCGGUAAGAC